CGUAGCUUUACGUCUACGCAGUAAAUCUAAACCGCCCUAAAUAUUUACGGCUAUAUGUAUAAAAUUACAGUUCCAAAUUCCUUCUGUACCUCUCCACGAGGCUCCUGCUCAGUGCUACUAUAUUGACUACUUAAGGCUGCAUUAGUAGAUGAUGUCGUUUUCCAUGGUUUGGAACAUAUUCAGGACCCUAAAUUAUCCUAUGGCCUGGCACAAACGAUGUGGGCGGGGAUCUCCAGCUUGUUAUACUUUUGGACAAGACAUAGCUUCUCAGUUUAACCAUAUGAAUGGACUCGUUCUCAUCUCUAGAUCUCGUCAGAAUUGUCAUGGAGGGUUUCAGUUGGUGCCAGCCAAAAGGUAAUAUGAUCGUAGUUUGUAGGUACUUUCCAUAAUGUAUGUGUAUGUUAUCAUUCACAUACUUGGUUACUAAUCUAGCUGUAACUUCUUCGUCUCAGCGUGUCCAUGUUAUAUCGAAAAUUAUGGAUCAUGUUUUAACAUUGUUAGCUACAACGAUCGUCCCUAUUUUUUAAAUUUCAGUGCUGUUCUGUUUGCGCACCAUUGUGAUGGGAAAAUGUCCCAGAAAAUUUACAGCAAGCAAUGACUUGGUAUGUUAAUAUGUUCCUGUAAACUUUACUUCCCAAGUUAAAGCAUAUUUUUGGCCGAA